UACGGGGGGGGCAAGCGUUGUUCGGAAUUACUGGGCGUAAAGGGUUCGUAGGUGGCCAACUAAGUCAAACGUGAAAUCCCUCAGCUUAACUGGGGAACUGCGUCUGAUACUGGUUGGCUUGAGUGCAGGAGAGGAACGCGGAAUUCCAGGUGUAGCGGUGAAAUGCGUAGAUAUCUGGAGGAACACCGGUGGCGAAGGCGGCGUUCUGGACUGCAACUGACACUGAUGAGCGAAAGCCAGGGGAGCAAACGGG
rnacentral:rRNA from 1 species